AUUGAACGCUGGCGGCAUGCCUUACACAUGCAAGUCGAACGGCAGCACGGGUGCUUGCACCUGGUGGCGAGUGGCGAACGGGUGAGUAAUAUAUCGGAACGUACCUUAUUGUGGGGAAUAACGCAGCGAAAGCUGUGCUAAUACCGCAUAAUCCCUAAGGGGGAAAGCGGGGGACCGUAAGGCCUCGCGCAAUUAGAGCGGCCGAUACCUGAUUAGCUAGUUGGUGAGGUAAAGGCUCACCAAGGCAACGAUCAGUAGCUGGUCUGAGAGGACGAUCAGCCACACUGGGACUGAGACACGGCCCAGACUCCUACGGGAGGCAGCAGUGGGGAAUUUUGGACAAUGGGGGCAACCCUGAUCCAGCAAUGCCGCGUGAGUAAAGAAGGCCUUCGGGUUGUAAAGCUCUUUUGUCAGGGAAGAAACAGCAGCUCUAACACAGUUUGCGAAUGACGGUACCUGAAGAAUAAGCACCGGCUAACUACGUGCCAGCAGCCGCCGUAA
rnacentral:rRNA from 1 species